CCCUACGGGGGGCAGCAGUGGGGAAUAUUGCACAAUGGGGGAAACCCUGAUGCAGCAACGCCGCGUGAGUGAAGAAGGUUUUCGGAUUGUAAAGCUCUGUUAGCAGGGAAGAGGAAGGACGGUACCUGCAGAGGAAGCCACGGCUAACUACGUGCCAGCAGCCGCGGUAAUACGUAGUUGGCAAGCGUUAUCCGGAUUUACUGGGUGUAAAGGGAGCGUAGACGGCGUGCCAAGUCUGAUGUGAAAGGCCGGG
rnacentral:rRNA from 1 species